UUUUGAAUGAUACGAGAUCCUGAGGCCCAUCGUUGUGCCAUUCAUCCAUCACCUCAUGUUGCAGCAUGAUAAU